rnacentral:rRNA from 1 species
UGGGGAAUCUUGGACAAUGGGGGAAACCCUGAUCCAGCGAUGCCGCGUGUGUGAAGAAGGCCUGCGGGUUGUAAAGCACUUUAGUUGGGGAGGAGGGAAUCACUUGAAAGGGUGAUUUCAGACGUUACCCAAAGAAUCAGCACCGGCUAACUCUGUGCCAGCAGCCGCGGUAAUACAGAGGGUGCAAGCGUUAAUCGGAAUCAUUGGGCGUAAAGCGCACGUAGGUGGUUGAUUGAGUUAGGUGUGAAAUAUCCGGGCUUAACCUGGGUGGGUCACUUAAAACGGAUCAACUGGAGUCUGGGAGAGGGAAAUAGAAUUUCCGGUGUAGCGGUGAAAUGCGUAGAUAUCGGAAGGAAUACCCGUGGCGAAGGCGAUUUCCUGGCCCAAGACUGACACUGAGGUGCGAAAGCGUGGGGAGCAAACA